rnacentral:lncRNA from 1 species
GGAGGAGCCGGAGCUGAGCCGUACUCCGCUGCAUCACGUGCCGGGGUGGGGGCUAUAAAAUCCUGGAGCCGGGGCUCCGGGCGGGGGACGUGAGGACCAACCCUCUCCAGGGACCCCUUUGUUCGAAUCCCAGUACACCUCAGCAUCCCCAAGGGCUUGACCGCCCGCGUACGCACAGCUCUCUGGACAGAGCUCAGAUCACGGAAAGAGAGGAGGGGACGCCGCGGCCCGCUGGACAAGCCAUCGAUCCCCCGUCGAAAUGUCGCGCUCCUUCUACGUGGACUCACUCAUCAUCAAGGACUCCUCGCGGCCCGCACCCUCGCUGCCGGAAUCGCACCCAGGUCCGGAUUUCUUCAUCCCGCUGGGCAUGCCGUCCCCGUUGGUGAUGUCAGUGUCCGGGCCUGGCUGUCCGUCCCGCAAAAGCGGCGCUUUUUGCGUGUGCCCGCUUUGCGUCACCUCGCACCUGCACUCCUCUCGCCCGCCCGCUGGAGCGGGUGGCGGAGCUACGGGGACCGCAGGGGCUGCGGUGGCGGGCGGCGGGGUGGCUGGAGGCACGGGCGCCCUACCUUUGCUUAAGAGCCAGUUCUCUCCCGGUCCUGGGGACGCGCAGUUUUGCCCACGGGUGAGCCACGCACACCAUCACCACCACGCUCCCCAACAUCACCAUCACCACCAUCAGCCCCAGCAGCCCGGCUCGGCUGCAGCGGCGGCGGCUGCGGCGGCUGCGGCAGCGGCCG